UUGUCUGUCACCCCCACUAAGAUGUAAACAGGGUAAGGAGGGACAUUGUCUUUUUUUACUCUGUAUCUCCAGUGUCUAGAAUAGAGUCUGGCACAUAGGUGCUUAUUGAAUAUUUGUUGAAUGAAUGAAUGCAUGCAUGACUUCUUACUGUGAGUGCAAGGAGGUGGGGAGGGGUGGGGAGGCUCAGGCUUGGCUCACUCUACACAGAUCAGUGCUUCCAUGACUUGGAUACUGAACCAUGAGAAACAAAGAGAUUUGUUGGUUUAAUUUCUUUUGCCCUGGGAAAAUUAAAGAUCACAGAUAAUCCAAAACUCAGUGCCAAGUUCUCUAUUUAUAAUCGAGGAAUUAUUCACACAGAGGUAAACAAGAGCAAAGGACUGACAAGUGAACUGGAGGAGGAGAAUGAUGGGAAACAGACUGAGGGACCCAUACAUCUGCAUGCCUUCAACAGGCCUGGGUUCUCACCAGCACUCACUCAACCUUGGAUCCAGAGAACCCUUGAUGUUUUCCAGUCCCAGAAUCCUCUGGGACAGGCUGCCCAGAUGGCUGUUGGGAGUGAGCUGGUGAUCUUAAGCAGAGGCAGCCUAGGUGAAAAAACAGAGUCAUUGAGAGAAAGCAACUCACUGAAGGUCACGUGGGAAACAGCACAGAUAGGAAGAACCAGGCCUCCGAGUCACAGAAAGAUCUUCCAUUCAUCGGAUGAUGGUUGCCAGGGAGGAGAGUGGAUGUUAGGAGACCCUGAAUAGCACCGAGAGGCCAACACACUUCAAAUUAAGCUUCCGAUGCUUAUGAGGGGCCGGGCGUCCCACAAAUCCCUCUGUGCAUGGAGCUUUGAGGCAGCCUGUUCAGUCUGUUUGUUCUUUCAGAAGUGCGCCUGGGAAGCCAGGAGUUAUUGUUUCCCCAAAAGGAUUUCUACAGGGUGCAAGAAGACAAAGAACACAAGUGACAAGACACCUAGAAAAAGAUGUUCAAGACCUACAUGAAGCCCACCCAGGGUUCUCUUUGAAACUAUUGUUUGUUGAAGUUAUGGGGAAUAAAGUUUACACUC